rnacentral:lncRNA from 1 species
CGAGGUUCAGUGGCGCAUUCUCCAGUGCUCUGCAGCUUCUUCGCCAUUAUUGAUGGGUGAGCAAGGCAAAUCCACUAGCUAAGCUCUCUCUCUCUCUCUCUCUCUCUCUCUCUCUCUCUCUCUCUCUCAAAUGAAACUUACCGGUUCCAUCAGAUAAGGUGAAAUGGGACACAAAUUGAAACGACUAAAUUUGAACCAGGAAUUUCUUGUAAUCUUGAUCAUUUUUUGUGUGCAUUCCAUGCUCUGUUUUCUGCACUUUGGAGUUGUGAAACAAGUGGGCGCUCCUUGCUGUUCAAGGAAAGAUCUCCUUGUUUUUGUCUAAGGAUGUACUUCACUACUAUGUAGGCUUCUUGCCGUCUUUGUUGGUUUUAACAUGCUUGACGUUUAUAGGGCAUCUUGAAUGUGCAUAUAGAUCAGGCAUAUAGAUCACGAAUAUCAGCUAAUUGUCAAGAUUACUUAACUGCACCAUGUCAAUUAUCUGGAAAACAAAACAUUAAUUUCCUUCAAGGUGAAAUUCCUUGCAACAGUUGCAUGCAAGAAUUGCUCUUUAAUUUGGAAGUCAUUGGUAUCUUUUAGAAAGAAGAUCAAUUUGUUGAUGGUACAGGAAGGUGUGGUUUUUUUGUCGCUUAUAUGCCGCUGAAUAUUUGCAACGUUGGCAUAUUUGGUACUUGCUGUUUUGAGUCCUUAUUUGUUCUUGCUUGCUUUCUAUUUCAUCUCUUAUUAUGUGACAACUUAAGCUUUUUAUUCAUGUGGAAUCUGAAUAUGAAUACCACAACAGGUGUAAGCUUCAUGAUGUAUGUAUCAGCACCACAGAAAACUUUCUGGAGUUUACAUAAUGAUACUCCAAUUCAGGAGCUUGCAUACUCAUUACAUUUUUUGUGGAGUGUUGAUGAAAUUCGGCAAAAACAUCUGCCUGUUAAUAUUUAGAAAAGAGGUUUGAGGUUAUCUAGAUCUUCAAGUAAGUUAGUUCUCAAUCCUAUGUCAGACAUAUAACACAUUGCUUCCUCGGAGUCGCUAGAACUGAAUUGAACAGUCCGAAUAGCAAAGGGAGUUGGUUUCUGAUGGUCAUCACAAUACAGCCAAACAAACUAAUAGAGCAUCUUUGCAGUAGCAGCACGAAGUAAAACAUAUGAUCCAUAAACAUACAUCUCUCUCAGUGUCCGCACUGGCUUCUAGGAGCUGGGAGGGGAGCAGAAGGGUCGGUGGGACGACAUCACGACAGAGGCGGCAGAUGUCGCCGGGGAAUGAGGGCGUGGACCACGCGGUCACAACUCAGAGGCGGGAGGGGAGCUAGGGAUAAGUGACAGGGCGACCCGUACGGGGUCACAAGUCGUCGUCAAGCCCGAAUCCAGGUACUAACCACACCAAGUGUGCUCACCGCCGCUCACCAGACCUGGCCGGAGCUUAUACCGUGGCUCGCAGGAGAGGGGAGAUAUUGCAACUUAGGGAUGGGAGGGGGCGGUGAGCAUGGAGCGGAGGCCACAGAUCCAAGCCUAGGAGAGAAAGGAGGCGAGGCGACGCUGUGUCGGGGAGAGGUGGCGGGGGUGGUGGGAAGAGUGAGGCUUGUGCCUGUGUGUUGAGAGAGUGAGAGGAGUGAGUUGUGUUUUUCUUUUGCGGAAUAAGAUAAGAAGCAAAGGAGAGGUUGGCUGCAUUUGAUUUUUAGAAAAAUCGGCUGUUUUUUAUAUAGAGGGAAAUUCGGUUGUUUUCUCUAGAGAAAUGUAACAUAUUUUUUCUGCUAGAAUAUCACAUACCCUAAAUAGUAAAUUACCAAGAAUAAUCAUCAAAUAGUAAUUUAUAGAUGAGCCUACAAUUUAUUGAAAUUGGGAUGCCACUCAAUCUACUAAAAAGCACUAUGUUACUCAUUCAGUUAAAAAUGGGCAUUGUUCAUUUCUAGCCGUUGACCAUUGAAUAUAUAUUUUAAAUUCAUGAUUUUUAAUAUAUAGUUUCCUAAUAACUGUUUAUAUUUUCCACUUCUAUAGGUCAUAUAAAAACUUAUGGAUUUGGAUGAUGCUUCAAAAAUGUCGACUGACAUGACAUAGGCACUGACGUACCGAUGAUGGGCCGCAAAAGAUUUAUUUAUAUAUAUGUUUAAUUUCCAGUGGACGGGUAAAUUUAUUCUUGUUAUUACUAUAUUGAAGGUAAUAUUAAGUUAUUCAAUUGCAGAUGUGUCUGCCUAUUUUAUUUCUGAUUUUAUGCCCUUGUGAAACGGUAAAGAAUUGCUUCCUUUGAUUUGCACGAUGAGUAUUCUCUGUUGCACAUUCUUAGACCUUCAUUGUGAAAUAUUCAUGCUAACUAC